UCCAGAAAGAAACUGCCAAUAGGCUUUAAGCACCGUCACAUAAGUCCCUCCUACCUAUUUCACAAUCCGGUAACCCCGCCUCCACAUAACGAAUUUUACCUGAGAAGUUUGGUCGCUGUCAGCCAAUCAAACGCCUGAAUGUAGCAUGACCCCGCCCACUUCAGGCUUGAACAACCAGUCAACAUCGACCUUUCGCGAAGCCAAACAUCCCCAACCAAUCACAGAGCAGUCCCUUCUAACAGCGCUCGGUUCAAUUCAGUGGAGCUCCUUACGAUAUUAUUCUAAGUUACUAGUCAAGUUUUGCUAUUUAAAACUUAGUAGUCGGCGGAAACCCCCAGGCUUAACACCAGCUUCAAGUGACGUCCACAUGUCCGUACGGAGGUUUGCGAUGGCGGUACAUCCAUACGGUGGCAAGCAGAAUGGUUGACAGCACUGUGACUGGCAGCAGGCAAUAAAAGAUGACGUGUAUCACGCUGAUUCUGGGGGUCGGAGCUCGAAUGACUGAGGCAUACACACAUAAAGCAUCGCCGGUAAAAUGUGCAGACGAGGGACUUUCUGAUCUUUUGACACUGGUGCAGCUCGAAUCCGUCGAUUGGUGCAUGUCUUUGGAGGUGGGAGGAAGCCGGAGUACCCGGAGGGAACCCACGCAGUCACGGGGAGAACAUGCAAACUCCACACAGAAAGAUCCCGAGCCCAGGAUUGAACACAGGACUAUUCAGGACCUUCGUAUUGUGAGGCACAUGCACUAACCCUUGUGCCACUGUGAUGCCCUAAAAAGAUAAUCAACAAAAACAAAUAUUGCAAAGUAAUUACUUACUAUUACUGCUAGGCAACACUUAAAAUAUUAGGGAAUUUAACAUAAACAAAGAAAAUCUUGACAUUUGUAUUGUGUUUGAUAUUUUAGCUGUCAUUCACAUAUAAAAAAUUUUAGUCACGAAAAUUGUUGACUUAAUUCUUUAUCAGUGCAUUUGGAAUAUGUGUAUAAGUGGUCGCUGGGAAGAAGUAGUAACACUUUUAAACGAUGAUCACAUUUUCAACAUCUGUGGACAGUGUGGCUAAUGCGGAAUGUUUAUUGGCAGGUGACGAUACAUGUUUAAUAAGAUGUGAACAUGCUACUAAACAUUUAGCAUAUCUGCCUCAGGUGUGAGCGUGCUUACAACAUAAUAAUGUUUUAUUUUUAAGAUAAGGACAGUGCAUAUCAAUGAAAAUCGAUGUUUACAUAGCUCUGUAAACAUGCCGUAUCAAAGCAAAGCUGCUAAUUUGCAUGUGUAGUGUCUAAUAAAUACAAAAAUAUAAAUAAUGCUAAGUGACAUCAAAUAAAUAGAUAAAAUACAAAUAGAACAGUCAAGGAAGCACAAUACAUUACAUUACUGGUGUCAAACUCAGGGCUUGGGGGCCAGGUCUGGCUCGCCACAUUAUUUAUCAUGGCCCACAAAAGCCUGGGAAUAAUACUGUCAAUACAGUACUUUCUUUUCUUACUCAACGUAAAUGGUAAAUAAAUGGGUCAUACUUGUAUAGCGUUUUUCUACCUUCAAAGUACUCGAAGCCGUUGUGAUCCGGUUCCCAGAUCACAUCUUUAGUCUAUGUUUUGAGUCCCUUUUUGUGUAGCGAUUAUUAUUUUUGGACUCUUCACGUUCCGAGUUUUGCACUUCCUGUUUUAUCUCGUUUCCAUGGUUUCUCAUUUGUUCCACCUGCUAUGCUUUUUGACGCACAACUGUUGGCAAUUGUUUACUUUAGUAUUUAAGCCUGCAUUCUUCCUCAGUUCGUUCUUGGCUCAAGGUUUGCGGUAAGCAACAGUCACGUUUAUUAUUCAGCUUUGUAUUAACCUUGCUAAGUCACGUCUUAGCUUCUGUGCGCUCGACACGCGCUUCUGUGGACACUUUGGACUCGACGCUUGCUAACUAGUAGCAUUAGCUUUCCGUGCAUAGGCACGCCGUUUCAUUUCUGCUUUGUACAAGUUUUCGUCAGGAGCAAGGGUGAAGUGUCUUGCUCAAGGACACAAGGGACGUGACUAGGUUGGUAGAAGGUGAGGAUUGAACCAGGAACCCUCAGGUUGCUGGCAUGGCCACUCUCCCACGCCGUAGCAGUUCUUUCUAUUUUGACAGGAAAAAAAUGAAAGCUGAAAAAAAAAACAAAUUAACUCAUGCGAAUAAUGCAUCAAUGAUGAAUAUACGCAGAUUUAUCACCCAGUAAUUGCAUUUGGGUCAAAAUAUUUGGGUCUUUUCUUAAGUCGAUUUCAAUUAUGCAAACGAGAAAUAACCUCUGAUUAAUCAUGAUUAAUCUGAAUGAAAAAUUUAAUGAUUUGAUGGCACAAUAAUUACAUGUACUGCAUGUAAUUGCAUUUAUUUCAAACUUUAACAUUAUGUAAUAAUGCAACAAAUAUUAUAUUAUCAUAUAUUACAAAAAAUGUUGACAAAUAUUUAAAUAUCUGCUUGACUUGUGAUUCAUGACUCAUGGAGUAUUCCAUCAAAUUGUAUACUGUAAAAAUGUUAAUAGAUUUUACGGUAAAAAACAACAACAAAAAACAUAGCUCAUUCGCAAGAACUUUUGUGUUAAAAAAAACUAACUUUGGUAACGUUUUUCCAUUUACUGUCAUAUGCAGUUAAACAUUGUACACUUUACAGUAAAAUUUAGGCAAAUGCGCUGCCAGUUUUUUUAAUUAUAAAAUCUACAGAUUUCUUUAUGUGCAUGAAAAAAGAUUUAAAAUGUAUUGGCAAUUAUGUAAUAAUCUCAUAAGGGGAAUCCUGAUGCAUUUAUAUUCAUGUACAGUCACUGUUACAAAGGGCCUUUUGAGGGCAGCCAUAAUUGCAAUGUGGCCUUCAAAGAAAUCAAGUUUGACACCAUUGCAUUACAUUCAGUAGACCCAGACAAGAUAUAACAAUGAAUUAAAAAAGUAAUGUUCAAUUAGUUCAAGUCCAGUCAGGGGUCGCACUUCUGAUUUGAUUUGAGCCAUUCUUUUAGUUGUCCUUAAAGAAGAGUAUCUGGGGCGUUGUGAAGGGAAGAGUGUCAUCUUUUGUUCACAUAUUCAUAAGCAUUUUGCAUUUUUUUUCCUAUUAAUUUUCAUAUGUCUUACUUGUAUUUUAUUCUUUAUCUCUACACAUGGUUCUUACUAUAUUACAAGUUUUAUUAUUUUCAUUUUCCAACAUUCCUCAGAUGAGCCAUCUGCCUCAGGGGUUAUCGGCCGUGCUUGUUGGGGCGCUUUUGUGUCAGCGUCCUGGUGGCCAUGGUCUGAUGACCUCCUGGUGCAGAUGGCUCCUUGUGAUAGUGUUUACUCACCUGUCUCCUCUGUACUCAGCCAUGCAAUAAUUGGUCCAUAUAGUUCUUUGUGUUUGUGUUUGGUAUCUGUAUCCGUGCGUACGUAUGUGAUAAUGGGGGAUAUGGGUCACCGGGGUAUUGUUUUUAACUUUGUAAAAUACUUUGCAUUGCAUUUCUUUUAUGUAUGAAAAGUGCAUUAUAAAUAAAGCUUGAUUUGA